rnacentral:rRNA from 1 species
UACGUAGGGGGCAAGCGUUGUCCGGAAUCAUUGGGCGUAAAGAGCGUGUAGGCGGCUUGGUAAGUCCGCUGUGAAAGUCCAGGGCUCAACCCUGGAAAGCCGGUGGAAACUGUCAAGCUUGAGUCCGGAAGAGGCGAGUGGAAUUCCUGGUGUAGCGGUGAAAUGCGCAGAUAUCAGGAGGAACACCGGUGGCGAAGGCGGUGGUCUGGGCCGGUACUGACGCUGAGGAGCGAAAGCGUGGGGAGCGAACAGG